CCACCCUUGUAUGUUUGAUGUUCUAACCUAGCACCCUAAUCGGGUGUGGGGACACUGUCUGGUGGGUAGUUUGACUGGGGCGGUCUCCUCCCAAAGAGUAACGGAGGAGCACGAAGGUUGGCUAAGUACGGUCGGACAUCGUACGGUUAGUGCAAUGGCAUAAGCCAGCUUAACUGCGAGACAGACACGUCGAGCAGGUACGAAAGUAGGUCAUAGUGAUCCGGUGGUUCUGUAUGGAAGGGCCAUCGCUCAACGGAUAAAAGGUACUCCGGGGAUAACAGGCUGAUACCGCCCAAGAGUUCACAUCGACGGCGGUGUUUGGCACCUCGAUGUCGGCUCAUCACAUCCUGGGGCUGAAGCCGGUCCCAAGGGUAUGGCUGUUCGCCAUUUAAAGUGGUACGCGAGCUGGGUUUAGAACGUCGUGAGACAGUUCGGUCCCUAUCUGCCGUGGGCGUUGGAGAUUUGAGAGGAGCUGCUCCUAGUACGAGAGGACCGGAGUGGACGAACCUCUGGUGUUCCGGUUGUCACGCCAGUGGCACUGCCGGGUAGCUAAGUUCGGAAUCGAUAACCGCUGAAAGCAUCUAAGCGGGAAGCCUCCCUCAAGAUGAGAUCUCCCUGGGCACUUGAUGCCCCUAAAGGGCCGUGGAAGACCACCACGUUGAUAGGCGGGAUGUGGACGCGCUGUGAGGCGUGAAGCUAACCCGUACUAAUUGCCCGUGCGGCUUGACCAUAUAACGCCAAAGCGGUCAC
rnacentral:rRNA from 1 species